rnacentral:rRNA from 1 species
UACGUAGGUGGCAAGCGUUGUCCGGAAUUACUGGGUGUAAAGGGAGCGCAGGCGGGAAGCCAAGUCAGCUGUGAAAACUAGGGGCUUAACUUGUAGACUGCAGUUGAAACUGGUUUUCUUGAGUGAAGUAGAGGUUGGCGGAAUUCCGAGUGUAGCGGUGAAAUGCGUAGAUAUUCGGAGGAACACCGGUGGCGAAGGCGGCCAACUGGGCUUUAACUGACGCUGAGGCUCGAAAGUGUGGGGAGCGAACAGG